UACAGAGGUCCCAAGGCGUUGUUCGGAUUCACUGGGCGUAAAGGGUGCGUAGGUGGCAAGGUAAGUUUGAUGUGAAAUCUUCGAGCUCAACUCGGAAACUGCAUUGAAUACUAUCUUGCUUGAGGAUUGGAGGGGAGGCUGGAAUUCUCGGUGUAGCAGUGAAAUGCGUAGAUAUCGAGAGGAACACCAGUGGCGAAGGCGAGUCUCUAGACAACUCCUGACACUGAGGCACGAAAGCUAGGGGAGCAAACAGG
rnacentral:rRNA from 1 species